rnacentral:rRNA from 1 species
CCGUGCAAAGGUAGCGCAAUCACUUGUCUUUUAAAUGAAGACCUGUAUGAAUGGUAUUACGAGGGCUUAACUGUCUCCUUUUUCAGGUCAGUGAAAUUGAUCUCCCCGUGCAGAAGCGGGGAUAAAUCCAUAAGACGAGAAGACCCUAUGGAGCUUUAAGACACUAAGCCAUAUCAAGUUAAAUACCCCCUAACAAGGGGCCAAACUUAUUGAAAUCAUUGGCCGUAUGUCUUCGGUUGGGGCGACCAUGGGGAAACAAAAAACCCCCACGUGGAAUGGGAGCACAUUUACUCCUACAGUCAAGAGCCGCCACUCUAACAAACAGAAUUUCUGACCAAUAACUGAUCCGGCAACGCCGAUCAACGGACCAAGUUACCCUAGGGAUAACAGCGCAAUCCCCUUUUAGAGCCCCUAUCGACAAGGGGGUUUACGACCUCGAUGUUGGAUCAGGACAUCCCAAUGGUGCAGCCGCUAUUGAA